UUUAUUUAUUAAGCGCCUGGACAUUUUAAAAAAUGUUGACGAGGACUAAAGUUAUCGAAUUUUUCGGCGGAUACUUUAGUGGCUUUAGCUUAAAGUCAUAACAUUAACUAAAAAGCAAUAGUAAUAUUGUAACAAAAAUUAAUGUAAUUAAGCUU
rnacentral:ncRNA from 2 species